rnacentral:rRNA from 1 species
AGUGAACGCUGGCGGUAGGCCUAACACAUGCAAGUCGAACGGCAGCACAGUAAGAGCUUGCUCUUACGGGUGGCGAGUGGCGGACGGGUGAGGAAUACAUCGGAAUCUACUUUUUCGUGGGGGAUAACGUAGGGAAACUUGCGCUAAUACCGCAUACGACCUACGGGUGAAAGCAGGGGAUCUUCGGACCUUGCGCGAUUGAAUGAGCCGAUGUCGGAUUAGCUAGUUGGCGGGGUAAAGGCCCACCAAGGCGACGAUCCGUAGCUGGUCUGAGAGGAUGAUCAGACAAACUGGAACUGAGACACGGUCCAGACUCCUACGGGAGGCAGCAGUGGGGAAUAUUGGACAAUGGGCGCAAGCCUGAUCCAGCCAUACCGCGUGGGUGAAGAAGGCCUUCGGGUUGUAAAGCCCUUUUGUUGGGAAAGAAAAGCAGCAGGUUAAUACCCCGCUGUUCUGACGGUACCCAAAGAAUAAGCACCGGCUAACUUCGUG